CCUACGGGAGGCUGCAGUGAGGAAUAUUGGUCAAUGGCCGGAAGGCUGAACCAGCCAUGCCGCGUGAAGGUCAGUGCCCUAUGGGCGUUAAACUUCUUUUGUGCGGGAGCAAUAAUGGUCACGUGUGGCCAGACGAGAGUACCGUACGAAUAAGCAUCGGCUAACUCCGUGCCAGCAGCCGCGGUAAUACGGGGGGUGCGAUCGUUAUCCGGAUUUAUUGGGUUUAAAGGGUGCGUAGGCUGUGAGGUAAGUCAGCGGUGAAAUGCCCCCGCUCAACGGGGUGAAGUGCCAUUGAUACUGCCUGGCUGGAAUGCGGAUGCCGUGGGAGGAAUGUGUGGUGUAGCGGUGAAAUGCAUAGAUAUCACACAGAACACCGAUUGCGAAGGCAUCUCACGAAUCCGCGAUUGACGCUGAUGCACGAAAGCGUGGGUAUCAAACAGGAUUAGAUACCCGUGUAGUC
rnacentral:rRNA from 1 species